GUCCGUUCAUGUUGUUAUGCAACCAUCACCAUCAUCCAUCUACAGAACACUUUUCAUCUUCCCCAGCCGGAACUCUUGACCCUUUAAAAUAUAACCUCCCACUUUCCCCGCCCCCUAGCCUCUGGCAGCCACCUUUCUACUUUCUGUCUCCAUGAUCUUGACUACUCUAGGUACCUCAUCGUAUGUCAGAGUAUUAAGAAGGUGACUUUUGAGUUAAUUCCUGAAGGAAGUGAGGGAGCAAGAGGAACAAGUGUAAAGGCCCUGAGGUAGGAAUGGGGCUGAUGUGUUAUAUCAAAAGGCCAGUGCCUCUGGAAGAAGACACAGGGGGGUAGAGGAGUAGCCAUAAGGCAAUUUUGUAGCAUCUUAGGACUUGGGCUUUUACUCUGAAAUAGGAAGCCCCUGGAGGGUUUUGAGGUCAGGGGUGACGUGAUUGGACUCCACAUUUCUGCGAACCACUCCACCUGCUGCGUUGAUACCAGACUGGUGCGGAGCAAGGGCAGAAUAGGGAGGCCAGUGAGGAGGCUGUUGCUUCUAACGUUGUCUAGAGGACCAGGGAAGGCUUCCCAGGGGAAGGGACUUUUAAAUUGAGACCAGAAAGUUGAGUAAGAAUUGACAAGGUGAAGGGCACCUUUAUGUGUUGGAGGACGGCAGUGGAGUGAAGUGUGGUGGGUGGAGGGCACAGUUUAUACAAUGGCCUGGAGGUGAGAGCAAGUGUACUUGACUGGCAAUUGUCAGUAAUUAAAUCCUUCCCUAGAUUGGGAGCUUCUUGGGGAAGAGGUGGCUUUUCAUUUCCAGAGCCCUAGGGUGGUGCUCUGGGGGCCCUUGCUCGAUGUAGAGGGGAGUGAAACCAUCGCUUGGUAUUUACUUCAAGUUACUGCCACCAAAUCUAAAGACCUGCUGGUGGCGCCCUCUCCUCUUCUGUCACUGUGAAGGAAGAAAGCCUCCUGGGGACAACCGGACUGGGCUCUGCGUCCCACCAACACUUCGUUGUCAGUGAGCUCCCUUUGCUGGUGCCCUGACUUUCCUCUCUCCUGUAUCUUCAGUCUCUCUCUUUUAAGAGAGAUUCUUAGGUGUCUCUCAGCUAAAAAAAAAUCCCUCCCUCUAGGCUGCUUACCCCUAAACUGCUUGUGUAUCAUUCUCCCCUUCAUAGCC
rnacentral:lncRNA from 1 species